GAGUUUGAUCUUGGCUCAGAACGAACGCUGGCGGCGUGGAUAAGACAUGCAAGUCGAACGGGAGAAUUGCUAGCUUGCUAAUAAUUCUCUAGUGGCGCACGGGUGAGUAACACGUGAGUAACCUGCCCCCGAGAGCGGGAUAGCCCUGGGAAACUGGGAUUAAUACCGCAUAGUAUCGAAAGAUUAAAGCAGCAAUGCGCUUGGGGAUGGGCUCGCGGCCUAUUAGUUAGUUGGUGAGGUAACGGCUCACCAAGGCGAUGACGGGUAGCCGGUCUGAGAGGAUGUCCGGCCACACUGGAACUGAGACACGGUCCAGACACCUACGGGUGGCAGCAGUCGAGAAUCAUUCACAAUGGGGGAAACCCUGAUGGUGCGACGCCGCGUGGGGGAAUGAAGGUCUUCGGAUUGUAACCCUGUCAUGUGGGAGCAAAUUAAAAGAUAGUACCACAAGAGGAAGAGACGGCUAACUCUGUGACAGCA
rnacentral:rRNA from 1 species